CCUACGGGAGACAGCAGUGGGGAAUAUUGGGCAAUGGGCGCAAGCCUGACCCAGCAACGCCGCGUGAAGGAAGAAGGCUUUCGGGUUGUAAACUUCUUUUGUCAGGGAAGAAGAAAGUGACGGUACAUGAGGAAUAAGCCACGGCUAACUACGUGCCAGCAGCCGCGGUAAUACGUAGGUGGCAAGCGUUAUCCGGAUUUACUGGGUGUAAAGGGCGUGUAGGUGGGACGGCAAGUCAGAGGUGAAAACCACGGGCUUAACCUGUGGACUGCAUUUGAAACUGUAGUUCUUGAGUACUGGAGAGGCAGACGGAAUUCCUAGUGUAGCGGUGAAAUGCGUAGAUAGUAGGAGGAACACCAGUGGCGAAGGCGGUCUGCUAGACCGCAACUGACGCUGAGGCGCGAAAGCGUGGGGAGCAAACAGGAUUAGAUACCCGAGUAGUC
rnacentral:rRNA from 1 species